rnacentral:lncRNA from 1 species
CAUCUCACUUACACCUCAACAUCCCAUGCAAAUUAACUUCAUCAUGUCUCUAUUUUUUGCCCAUUACCAUUUUAUGGGCUUCCACUACCACGCUCAAGUCAAGAUCCUCUACAUGAGGCAACAGACUCAAAAAAAUUAAGGCUUUAUAGUAGACGCGCAGAUUCAGACUUCCAUAACUUACAGUCACAUUGUAUUUGAAGUAGACAUUCAGAGCUAUUAAAAAGUAGCUGUACUCAUCUCGCAAUACAGGAAAGGAGCAAGUUCCAUGCUUCUCUGUCAUGGAAACACAAACAUAUGAAUAAGAGCCAGUAAAUCUGCCUUUAAGAAAGGCAGCUAUUGUAAACCGAAUGCAUGCUUUGGAACUGCUCAACCUAGCAUCCAAGCAUUAGAGAUCAAAAUGGCAAAACGACACAGUUUCUCAAACAUUCGAUUGGCCAAAAAAUUAACCAGCAGCAUCUUCUAUUUUGUUGGAUGUCUCUUUGGUCUAGAAGUACCAGUCAAAAACAGAGAAUCUUUUUUAUUUUGGCUUCAACAAUGAUUUCUUUUAAGCAUGCAAAUAGGGCAAUUUCAUCAUUUUUUUCAUUUCUUUUGACCAGAUACCUGAGGACCAUACCAGACUUGAGAGUUCUUUAGAGUUUGGAAAGAAAUCAGCUUAACAAUAGUUACUCAUCUCUAACCUUUACCCAAAUAAGACAAAUGCCAUAGCUACUCCAUGCUAUCAUGCACUUGCAAUGGUAUAAAUUCCAAGGAAAAAUGCAAAUAUUUAUUAACUGUACUCAAAGAUCCAUUGUAAGGAGAAGACACUUACCCCACUGCCAAUAGACAUCAGCAACAGCAGAAAAUUGUCAGUGCGACAUAGCGGUCAAGGAAACAAAAGAAAAGAAAAGUAAAUAAUUAGCAGCAACCUCAUGAGCCCAGAAUGAUCCUUUUCCGCCAUGACAAGUUGAAGAUGAACCACAACUUAAAGAUGGCCAGUAUUUUUCAAGUGCAUCAACCAAUGUAGAGAUCUGCAAAUUCAAAAAUCGCAGGGGGGAAUGUCAAGAGAGCUGCUCAUGUUUUUCAGACAAAGCUUAAAAAACCCCCAUUAGACAAAUAGAAAUAAUGAAGCAACAUUGCAUUUUCAGAAAACUAUUAACACAGUUUGGUUAGAUAUUGAAGUAUCAGAGACGUUAGUCAUCAUAACAAAUCUGUAGGCACCUCACAGGAUUCCUUUGAAGAAAAUAUUCAAGCAGAUAUUCAUUGUGUUAAGUGAAUUCCAUCACCAACUUCAACCAUCUCAAUUUUCACACCAGAAAACAUAUCUUUUCACGAGUUACCCAGCAAGAACUCUCUCCUGGGACACUUUUCAAAGUCAAUGCAAGAAUGUGGCAACACAUGCAUGAGUUUUUCAUGCAGCUUAAAAAUGACUAACCAACAGAAAAGAAAAGCACCUCUUUUUCAUUGAAACGAGAUCGACUGCAACAGGCAGGCCAAGUUCCAUCAUUGUAAUCGGGCCAUAGUCCAUCUGCCAUUCAGGUGCCAAGAAAAAUUUAGUCUCUCUGUGCAAACUUCAUGCCAACCAAUACCAUGUAUGAGGAAGUCAUGUUACAGACUCACAACAAAAUUAUAAACACAGUUGAGUUCAGAGAGAGGAAAAAGUCCUCUGUGUCAUCCAGGCAACAUAAGCAAUAUUGCAUUUUUGACAUAAUUGGUCAUACUCACGUAUAGUGAAUUCAGCUGGAGCAUUUGAGCUGUAACAAGAGAAUAGAAGAGGUGAGUUUUUCCAGCCUAAUAUGCAUGAGCCAGUGAAAAUUCACACCACUUUAUGAAGGAUAUUACACAUAUCCAGGAACCAUAUGACAGGUGGUACUAAAGAAAAUAAGGAGAUAAAUAAAUUGGAUGCAAUGAUCAGCAUGUUUAAAAUCAACCCUAAUUUCUCAAUGUUAUUUGCCACACAAUAUCAACCCCAACACUAAACAAACAAUCCAACUUGUACCCUUUAUAUAUUCUUGACGUCAACAGAUACUUGGCCAUGAGCUAAUCAAGUCCAACCGCACUAUACCAGAUGACACGCGAUACCAUAGAGCAAUCACAUCUUAGUGAACUUAUAACACUGUUUUCUCGAUUAUUGACUUGCCACCCUAGAGCACAAAUGCGCUAAAUACUACACAAUCCUCAGUAGCAGCACUAGCGGCGCGUCACUAGAAACACACCUAAUGCACUGCACGAUAAAUUAAUCAGAAGAGUUCCAUUUCGCACGUGUGACUUUUUCAGGCUUCUAUGAGCUAGACAUAGAGCUAUGGUGAGGUAUUUCCGGCAGGUUUGACGCGACUCGUUCGGCAAUUACCGCACUGACACAAUAGUUUCGCCAUGAGCUCGUAGGCUGUCAACAUGAAGCCAUAGCUAAAAUUCACCCGCAGUUUCAGUUUCGAUCACCACGCCAGCAUAACAAUCAAACACGCGGAUAAAGCGAUCGAACGUCCAACGCACGGAGCACGAGGACGCGAGUCAGCGAUCAGCCGAGGCGGAGCGUCUGGAAUCUCAACGAAACAAAUGACGACUGCGAGAAUUACCCGCGGCAACAGGCGUUGGAGGAGCAGCAAUGGCGAGUCCGGCGGCAGUAGGUGCCAGGCCAUUGCAUCGCCAGCUGGAAGUAGUCGAACUCUCUCUGGUUGCCCCCGUCGUCGGCCCCUCCGGCGACGACCGCCGCCGCCACGGCGAUCGCCGCGGCGAGAAGCGUCAGGCGGAGGAGAGACGAGGAAGAAGCCAUCGAUGGAGAGAGAGAGAGAAAGAGAAUCGGGCGCGAAAGAUUCGCAUAAUGCGCGCGGCGGGGAUGUAGGAUUAUAGGGGUGAUACAGACAGCAGCCGGAAUUGGGAAGGGCGGAGAUGUCAAUUCGUCUGCGAUCGACGGUAACGGACAGAACCCCGAGCUGGGAGGCACCAGUGGCGAAGCGACACGUGGCCUGAAAAGUGAGUGAAAUGUCUGCUUUUUAGCCCUCACCGGUCGUGGACUGGAAAUCUCGGAGACGUCCACUUCCGCUGUUAACAGUCCGACAUAUGCGGGGCCUCCUGAAGAUGGGCCUACUCAAUAACGGUUCGUUUGUUUCCUAGAAAAUACACGAUUUUUCAAAAAUUAUGAUUUAUACCAUUUCAAAUAAUUAAUCGAUAAAAAAUAUUUUUAUUAUCAGCUAUAAUUUAUAUUUAAAUAUUUUCGUGAAUGAUAAAAAUAUUCUUCGUUCAUUCAUAUUUAUAAGCAAUUCAAGUAAUUACUUUUUGUAAAUGAUGAAAAUACUUUCUGAAACGUGAGUUUUCCACGAAAUAAAUAGAAAUUUGCAGUAAUCUGUUCUUCAUAAUUAAGAAUACAACAAGAAUCAUCAGACUGUACAUAUACAUCACGACAUACACCAUCCCAAUCAUGGCCGAACGCCAACUGACUGAUGGGCAGCCUCUGCCAGUCGAGAGCCUAUAGAGCUUCGAUGUCAGUCAGCCUCUGCCAGUCAAGAGCCUAUAGAGCUUCGAUUUGGGGAACCGUCGACGCUAUCCAUUCAGACUUUGCUUGCCCUACAAAAGUGGAAGAACCAUAAUGGAUUUAGCAGAAGGUUACAAACAUAGCUGAAUCGGGGAAUGUCCUCGCUCUCAGAUGCAUAAACUUAGAGCGCAUGCUUGCAGACCUGGAUGGUCAUCUAAUGUUUCUUAACCAUACAUGUUGAUUAACUAUGGAGGGAAUACUCUUAGCCAGGCAAGAUGACAAUCUGAUCGUCAAGACCAAAUUGCAUACCUCACCAAGUCACUGAUAUAAUGAAAACAGAAAAGGGUUUUCCUGCGCAUCCAGCUAUUGGUACAUUUGCAAAAUAUUAGUGACAAGUCAUGUUUGACAGCAGCAGAUGCAACUUCAAUCAAUCACGAGGAUAUGGUGAAAACUUACCAGGCGACACAUAUGCUGGCAAGCUGACGUACUUGGGACAUGAGCUUUUUAAUAAACUCAUAUCUUGGAGGAGGAUAGAUUCGACCUUACACUCUCGAGGCUGUAAUUAGAGUGGAAAUUCAGGUAAUGCUUGAUCAAGAAAUAAUUAGACUUAAAGAAUUGGCAAAAUAAGUUAUAAAAGGAAUACCAACAUAUUGUAAAGAAGCAAUUUAGCAAUGACUACAAUAAAAAAACAGCUAAUGAAUAUCCUAAAGAACCUGACAUGGGUUACCCAGCACAACCUGUAGGCUCAAUUGUUUAAUAAAUGGAGUGAAGAAGACUAGAUGGCAUUUCUAGCAAAGUAUCAACAGGCGGAACAAAAAGAUAAUGUGAUUACAAAAGAGCCAUCUCUAUCAAGCAAGACGAUAAAACACAUACUACCGCUGCUACUAAAACAAUAUGACUUCUAAUGACGCAGAAGUUUCUCAUAGAAAGGAACUUGUGUUUUAGUGUAUGAAGAUCCUCCUAGAAAGAUACGGCAAAUUUCAAGUGUAGUCAAAGGACUAACCUGAAAGUCCUUAUAGAAGCAUAAGCGGACCUCCUGCAAAGCUCCAUUGGAGCAAGCUAUUUCUGGGGUCACAUGGAAAGCAUUCUGAAUUGCAGAAACAAUGCCCCCAAGAGGAUAUUUCUCAGUGUUAGAAGGCACAUAUCCAGCAUCAUUUAGUACUCCCUGGCAUCACAGUAAAACAGAAACCAUGUUAAUAAGAAGCCAAUGCCCCAGAUUUAAUUGACUACAAAGUCACUGAUACUUUUGCGGAAAGGAUCCCUGCUAGUUUCAAAGGCAACUAGGAUGACUAGCGCAUGCUGUGGUGAUGCGUUUGGUGUGUGCAUGUGUGAAUCAGGGAACAUAUACAUAUAUGUGCUAAUUGUGCUUGCAUGGCAAAGUAGAAGGCUAUUUGACAAGUGGGUGCUAAAUGGAACCGAAAUCUACAAGGCUGAGAAGCUCUCCGUCGGUCGAAUACUUAGCAAGGAUCUCGGCUGCGAAUCUAGUAUAAAUAGGAACAGGGUUUAUUAUUUUGUGAAAGGCCAAGAACUUGAAAGCCACGCGAGUCCUUCUCAAUUCUCACAGUUUUCGUGGCUCCUUUUCAGCUUCUGCCACACACCUAUCUAUACUAAAUAACUAAAUACAUCACCAAAAGUCUCUCUCUUAUUUCACAGUGCAAAGAAUGUAGAAAAACCCCUACUAUUCCAAAAAUUUAAACGGUUAAAUGACAGCACGCAUUUUAAAUAUUCUAAUGCCCCUCGCAUUUAGGCUAGAUUUUCCUAAAUUGGGACAACAUAUAUAUAGGGAGACCAAUAAGGCAACCUAAAAGGAUUUGAACUCAGGACCUCUGGCACUAUCACCAUGUGAAGGAAGUGGAACUACUGUCAAAUAUUAUAAAAACUUAUGCUGAAAUAUGAAGGCGCUAUUUAAUAUUCUGAAUAUAUUAACUGCCACAAAAGAGCCUCUUCGACAUUGUAGAUUUCCUCCACUUGCAUAAGACAUGUCAAGAAGCCAUCUUAGUUGCAUCUCACUAACACCUCAACAUCCCAUGCAAAUUAACUUCAUUCCACUACCACGCUCAAGUCAAGAUCCUCUACACAAAACAACAGACUAAAAAAGUUAAGGCUUAUAGUAGAUGCACAGAUUCAGACUUCCAUAACUUACAGUCACAUUAUAUUUGAAGUAGACAUUCAGAGCUGUUAAAAAGUAG